AGCGAACGCUGGCGGCAGGCCUAACACAUGCAAGUCGAACGAAGUGGCGGACGGGUGAGUAACACGUGGGAACGUGCCUUUAGGUUCGGAAUAACUCAGGGAAACUUGUGCUAAUACCGAAUGCCUUUAGAGCGGCCCGCGUCUGAUUAGCUAGUUGGUGAGGUAAAGGCUCACCAAGGCGACGAUCAGUAGCUGGUCUGAGAGGAGGAUCAGCCACAUUGGGGCUGAGACACGGCCGAAACUCCUCCGGAAUGCAGCAGUGGGGAAUCGUGCGCAACGGGCGAAAGGCUGACGCUGCCAGGCCGCGUAAAUGAUGAAGUUCGUAGGAUUGUAAAAUUCUUUCACCGGGGACGCGGUACCCGGAGAAGAAGCCCCGGCUAACUUCGUGCCAGCCGCCGCGGUAAUAC
rnacentral:rRNA from 1 species